CCAGCAUCCUCCUGCCAUCUGAACACAGCUGAUACAGUUCUGCUGCUGCACUUCACAAUCUCACUCUUCUCAACAGGGAUGUCGUUGAGCAACAGGAUGAAGAAGACCUUGAUGAUGCCUCUCUGAACCACAUAACCUUGAAGCUAGAGCAGGGGAACACAUGCAGGACAAUCUGACUGCUGUGUCUGCUCCAAACUUUCGUGUGCCUGCACCCCAUGAGCACGACUACCGGAAAAACAUUUACACAGAGUUUACAAAUGCUCUCACUGGCUCUGGGGUCACUGAGGAUGAAGACACCACAGCAGCAUCUGGUCCUGAUGAGACAGUCCUGCUCCACCACAAAAGAUCUGCAGCAAAUGCACAGAAAUCAAGAAUAAGAAAAGAUGUG